UGUCAGCUUCUCUUAAAUGCAUUAGCAGAACCUGUUGGGUCUGGCUUCAGUUUGAUAAUCCUAUCUGUGCUGUUGCUGUUGAUCCCCCGCUCCAUGGGUUGUGUUCAGCUUCUUAAUUGUCCUUUGGACUGUCUCUAUUGUUGGAGGCAUACACUUUUAAGCUUGACCUCAAAUCAGGUAGGACUACCCGCUGAACUUAA
rnacentral:misc_RNA from 1 species